rnacentral:rRNA from 1 species
GGCGUGCCUAACACAUGCAAGUCGAACGAGAAAGCUCCUUCGGGUGUGAGUAAAGUGGCGCACGGGUGAGUAGCACGUGGGUAAUCUGUCCUUGGUGUCUGGGACAACAGCUCGAAAGGGGUGCUAAUACCGGAUAAGACCACGGCCUGUUCGCAGGCCGCGGCUAAAGGUGGCCUCUCCAUGGAAGCUAUCGCCCGAGGAUGAGCCCGCGCCCCAUCAGCUUGUUGGUGAGGUAAGAGCUCACCAAGGCUUAGACGGGUAGCUGGUCUGAGAGGAUGGUCAGCCACACUGGAACUGAGACACGGUCCAGACUCCUACGGGAGGCAGCAGUGGGGAAUAUUGCGCAAUGGGCGGAAGCCUGACGCAGCGACGCCGCGUGAGCGAUGAAGGCCUUCGGGUCGUAAAGCUCUGUUGGAAGUGAACGAAAAAGUCCAUGGUUAAUAUUCAUGGACCCUGACGGUACUCUUCCAGAAAGCACCGGCUAACUCCGUGCCAGCAGCCGCGGUAAUACGGAGGGUGCUAGCGUUGUUCGGAAUCAUUGGGCGUAAAGCGCGGGUAGGCGGGGCGGCGUGUCGGAUGUGAAAGCCCUCGGCUCAACCGAGGAAUUGCAUCCGAAACUGUCGCUCUUGAGUACGGGAGAGGGAAGCGGAAUUUCCAGUGUAGAGGUGAAAUUCGUAGAUAUUGGAAGGAACACCGGUGGCGAAGGCGGCUUCCUGGACCGAUACUGACGCUGAGACGCGAAAGCGUGGGUAGCAAACAGGAUUAGAUACCCUGGUAGUCCACGCAGUAAACGAUGAGCACUAGGUGUUGCGGGUAUCGACCCCUGCAGUGCCGAAGCCAACGCAUUAAGUGCUCCGCCUGGGGACUACGGUCGCAAGACUAAAACUCAAAGGAAUUGACGGGGGCCCGCACAAGCGGUGGAGCAUGUGGUUCAAUUCGACGCAACGCGCAGAACACUUACCCGGGCUUGACAUCCUGGGAAUCCCCGAGGAAACCGGGGAGUGCCUGCUUUGCAGGAGCCCAGUGACAGGUGCUGCAUGGCUGUCGUCAGCUCGUGUCGUGAGAUGUUGGGUUAAGUCCCGCAACGAGCGCAACCCUCGUCCUUAGUUGCCAGCAUUCAGUUGGGCACUCUAAGGAGACUGCCGGUGUUAAACCGGAGGAAGGCGAGGACGACGUCAAGUCCUCAUGGCCCUUAUGCCCGGGGCUACACGCGUGCUACAAUGGCCGGUACAAUGGGCUGCGAACCUGUGAAGGGAAGCUAAUCCCAAAAAGCUGGUCUCAGUUCGGAUUGGAGUCUGCAACUCGACUCCAUGAAGGAGGAAUCGCUAGUAAUCGCGCAUCAGCAUGGCGCGGUGAAUACGUUCCCGGGCAUUGUACACACCGCCCGUCACACCACGAAAGCUAUUUGGACCAGAAGUCGGCGUUCCAACCAUUCGGGGAGGUAGUCGCCCAAGGUCUGAAUGUAAUUGGGGUGAAGUCG